UCCGAGGGGGGCAAGCGUUGUUCGGAAUUAUUGGGCGUAAAGGGUGCGUAGGCGGUCUGAUAAGUCAUCUGUGAAAUCUAUGGGCUCAACCCAUAGUCUGCAGGCGAAACUGUCGGGCUUGAGUAUGGGAGAGGUGAGUGGAAUUUCCGGUGUAGCGGUGAAAUGCGUAGAUAUCGGAAGGAACACCUGUGGCGAAAGCGGCUCACUGGACCAUUACUGACGCUGAUGCACGAAAGCUAGGGGAGCAAACAGG
rnacentral:rRNA from 1 species